rnacentral:rRNA from 1 species
UACGAAGGGGGCUAGCGUUGUUCGGAAUUACUGGGCGUAAAGCGCACGUAGGCGGGCGAUUAAGUCAGGGGUGAAAUCCCGGAGCUCAACUCCGGAACUGCCUUUGAUACUGGUCGUCUCGAGAUCGGAAGAGGUGAGUGGAAUUCCCAGUGUAGAGGUGAAAUUCGUAGAUAUUGGGAAGAACACCAGUGGCGAAGGCGGCUCACUGGUCCGAUACUGACGCUGAGGUGCGAAAGCGUGGGGAGCAAACAGG